rnacentral:tRNA from 1 species
CCUUCGAUAGCUCAGUUGGUAGAGCGGUGGACUGUAGAGCGUUGUUUGGAAGGAGAAUCUGACGAAAACAGUCAUCUGAAGGAUCAUCUUCAAAGCUGAUGAUGUAGGAAUUUAUAGGUCACUGGUUCAAAUCCGGUUCGAAGGA